GACGAACGCUGGCGGCGUGCUUAACACAUGCAAGUCGAACGAUGAACCCGGAGCUUGCUCUGGGGGAUUAGUGGCGAACGGGUGAGUAACACGUGGGCAACCUGCCCCAGACACUGGGAUAACUUCGGGAAACCGAAGCUAAUACCGGAUACGACCACUUCAGGCACCUGAUGGUGGUGGAAAGUUUUUCGGUCUGGGAUGGGCCCGCGGCCUAUCAGCUUGUUGGUGGGGUAAUGGCCUACCAAGGCGACGACGGGUAGCCGGCCUGAGAGGGCGACCGGCCACACUGGAACUGAGACACGGUCCAGACUCCUACGGGAGGCAGCAGUGGGGAAUAUUGCACAAUGGGCGCAAGCCUGAUGCAGCGACGCCGCGUGAGGGACGAAGGUCUUCGGAUUGUAAACCUACUUUCUAGCAGGGACGAAGCGAAAGUGACUGUACCUGCAAAAGAAGCACCGGCGUAACUAACGUGCCAGCAGCCGCGGUAAUAGUCGAUAUCG
rnacentral:rRNA from 1 species